ACUUCCGCCGGCGGCAACAUGGAGGGCCUCAGGCCUUGCCACGCAGACUUCCGCCCGGCGCAAAGACCAAGGGCCGGUGGAGCGUCAGGUCAGAGGUGAAGCGACGCGCAGUGUGAAGCUGCAGCCCAGUUGCGUCCCAGCCUCGUGCCUGGCGGGGUGCUUGGAGGGCAGCAUGUCGGAAGGAAACGCCGCUGGCGGGCCCAGCACUCCGGGAGGGCCGCGACCCAUCCUGUCUGGGUCCCGGGGACUUAUUGGGCGGCGACCCGCACCCUCUCUCCCACCGGGCCGCCUUCCCUCCAUGCGCUCCAGGGACCUCACCCUCGGGGGAGUCAAGAAGAAAACCUUCACCCCAAAUAUCAUCAGUCGGAAGAUCAAGGAAGAGCCUAAGGAAGAAGCAACCGUGAAGAAGGAGAAGCGUGAGCGGGAUAGGGACCGCCAGCGGGAGGGCCAUGGACGAGGCCGGGGCCGCCCAGAAGUGAUCCAGUCCCACUCUAUCUUUGAGCAAGGCCCUGCAGAAAUGAUGAAGAAAAAAGGGAACUGGGAUAAGACGGUGGAUAUGUCGGACAUUGGACCCUCUCAUAUCAUCAACAUCAAAAAGGAGAAGAGGGAGACGGAUGAAGAAACCAAGCAGAUCCUGCGCAUGCUGGAGAAGGAUGAUUUCAUUGAUGACCCUGGACUGAGGAAUGACACACGAAACAUGCCUGUACAGUUACCACUGGCUCACUCAGGGUGGCUUUUUAAGGACGAGAGUGAGGAGCCAGAUGUUAAGCCUUGGCUGGCUGGUGCCAAGGAGGAGGACAUGGAGAUAAAUACACCUGCGGUGAAAGCAGUGAAAGAGGAGCCUGGAGAUGAGGCCGAGAUGAAGGCUCCUCCCAGGCUAGCUAGGAAGACCCCAGGCCUUCCAAAGGAUGUGUCUGUGGCCGAGCUGCUCCGGGAGCUCAGCCUCACGAAGGAUGAGGAGCUGCUGUUCCUCCAGCUGCCAGACACCCUCCCCGGCCAGCCACCCACUCAGGACAUCAAGCCUGUCAAGACAGAGGUGCAGGGCGACGAUGGACAGAUGGUGGUCAUAAAGCAAGAAAAGGACCGGGUAUGCCCAGGAGCAAGUUCCGGGAAAACUCAGGGAAGCCAGGCUGGCAGAGAACUCUUGCACCUUGGCUGACCUGACCGAGGGCCAAGUUGGCAAGCUGCUCAUCCGUAAGUCAGGGAAGGUACAGCUCCUCCUGGGAAAGGUGACUCUGGACGUGACCAUGGGAAGCACUUGUUCCUUCCUGCAGGAGCUGGUGUCUGUGGGCCUUGGAGACAGUAGGACAGGGGACAUGACAGUCCUGGGACACGUGAAGCACAAACUUGUCUGUUCCCCUGAUUUUGAAUCCCUCUUGGAUCACAAACACCGGUAAAAUGAGCAGAUGGAGGAGGAUGGCGACUGUGCCCACAGCUGCCGCCUGCUCCAGACAUUUUGUUCCUACAUCCAUGUGACCCAGAAGGGGCCUGGGGAGACCACCCACUCCAGCCUUUGGCAGCCAUCAGUUACCCCCCGCUGGAGCCCACGCAGCUCCCUCCCCCGGCAGCUGUGAACUGCACAGUGACCUUCCCACAGUGUGGAUACAGAUGGCAUGUUCUCGCUGCUGGGCACCUGCCCCACUAUUGCUAUUUAUUUUUAUAUUUAUGUCUUAAUCUCCUCAGUUGAGUGUACCUUCCCGAGGUAGGUUCCACAGGCUCCUUGUCUUGGAGAACCUCAGGCUGCAGAGAUGGAAAUGACUUGGCUUCUGCUCUCUCCUUCCCCAGAGGCAGGAAGGAGAGAGCGAGCAGGAGGCAGUCUGGAGCAUGCAGCCCCAGCUCAUUGGUUCCUAGUUCUCAGCCCUUAGACAAACUGCCUAACUUUUCUGAGCAUCGUAUUCCUCAUCUGACAGAAAUGGGGGUGAUACAGAAAUGGGGGUGCUACCUACCUCACAGAGUUGGUGUGAGGAUCAAGGGGAAUAUUGUGGAUGGAACUCUGCAGAGGCCAGAGAUAUACCCAUAGGCUUUCAAUAAACAUUAGUUUUCUCUUUGC